AGAAUGAACCGGCGAGUUACGAUUACGUGCGAGGUUAAGCUUUAGAAGGCGGAGCCGCAGCGAAAGCGAGUCUGAAUAGGGCGAAUUAGUACGUGGUCGUAGACCCGAAACCAGGUGAUCUACCCAUGUCCAGGGUGAAGGUGAGGUAACACUUACUGGAGGCCCGAACCCACGCACGUUGAAAAGUGCGGGGAUGAGGGGUGGGUAGCGGAGAAAUUCCAAUCGAACUUGGAGAUAGCUGGUUCUCUCCGAAAUAGCUUUAGGGCUAGCCUCGUGAUGAGAAUACUGGAGGUAGAGCAC
rnacentral:rRNA from 1 species